UACGUAGGGGGCAAGCGUUGUCCGGAAUCAUUGGGCGUAAAGAGCGUGUAGGCGGUCCGAUAAGUCCGCUCUGAAAGCCCGGGCUCAACCCCGGGAGGCGGGCGGAUACUGUCGGGCUAGAGUCCGGAAGAGGUAAGUGGAACUCCUGGUGUAGCGGUGAAGUGCGCAGAUAUCAGGAGGAACACCGAUGGCGAAGGCAGCUUGCUGGGACGGUACUGACGCUGAGACGCGAAAGCGUGGGGAGCAAACAGG
rnacentral:rRNA from 1 species